ensembl:snRNA U1 U1 spliceosomal RNA
AUACUCAACUAGCAAGGAGAAAUCAUGACUACUAAUUAAGGUGAUUUCUUCAGGGUGAGGCUCAUCCAAUCCACUGUGGGUAUGCAAACCCCUGAGAUUUCCUCAAAUGGGGGAAACUCUGGUGCAUAGUUCUGGGCAAUAGAGAAAUGUAUUUCUGCUUUCCCUAA